rnacentral:lncRNA from 1 species
UUUUCAUGUUUUUCACCCCCAAACUUAAAAUUUUCGUUGCCCUCAACGAAAUUAGCACAAAGUUUUAAGGAUAGAAAACACCUGAUUUAGUCGGAGUCGGUGUGAUCGGGGUGCUCCUCUCUCGCUCUCUCACGCUCGUCCUCAUCGGAAAGCUCGGGUACGGGCUCAAGAAUGGGUGUCGGUAAAGGUGCCGGCUCGAUGCAAUCGGGCGUCCCGCAUCCCAAGUGUUGGACAAUAGCUUGUAGCAUCUUGCUCGACCACCGUUGAAGUGCCUCCACCGUAUUGACUUUAUGCUCGACGGUAGUCAAUCGGUUCCGAGUAAUUAUCAUCUCUCGCUCCAUCUUCUUGCGGAAUCGUCGAUCGGAACGGGAGCUUGAGGCUUCGGGCUCGUCUCGGGCUUGAAGAGCGGCUUGCGGCUCGUCAUAGGUGGCUUCUUUGAAUAGCGAGGCCGUGUAGUCGGCAAUCGGCUUCCGGAUGUUGAGCUCGAUAUCGUUUGGUAAUUUGGGGACCCUCUUUCUUUUUCACAAACCCGUUACAAGGCUAGGGAAGAAGAUGCCUUUUGUAUUAUUUUGCAUUGUCCUCCAUAAUUGAUCGUACAUGACGGUCCCAAUAUCGACGGGCUUACCCGUGAUAAUGUAAUAGGCGAGCGCACACCGUUCGUGGUUGAUCCGACUAAAUGAAGUAGUCGGGAUUAUGUUGGCACAAAUGAACGUCAACCAUGCUUUGCCUUCAUAAUUAAUGCU